rnacentral:rRNA from 1 species
AUACGGAGGGAGCUAGCGUUGUUCGGAAUUACUGGGCGUAAAGCGCACGUAGGCGGCUAUUCAAGUCAGAGGUGAAAGCCCGGGGCUCAACCCCGGAACUGCCUUUGAAACUAGAUAGCUUGAAUCCAGGAGAGGUGAGUGGAAUUCCGAGUGUAGAGGUGAAAUUCGUAGAUAUUCGGAAGAACACCAGUGGCGAAGGCGGCUCACUGGACUGGUAUUGACGCUGAGGUGCGAAAGCGGUGGGGAGC